GACCGCGGGAAUUGGAUUCAGGCUUACCUCAUGCAAGUCGAGCGGGCGGAUGGGAGCUUGCUCCUUUAGGUCAGCGGCGGCCGGGUGAGUAACACCGUGGGUAACCUGCCUGUAAGCCUGGGAUAACUCCGGGAAUCCCGGGCUAAUUCCGGAUGCUUGACUGACCCGCAUGGUUCAAUCAUAAAAGGUGCCUUUUAGCUUCCCCUUGCAGAUGCACCCGCGGUCCAUUAGUUAGUUGGUGAGGUAACGGCUCUCCAAGGGGUCGAUGCGUAGCGGCCCUGAGAGGGUGAUCGCCCUCACUGGCAUUGAGGCGCGGCCCACCCUCCUACGGGGGGCACCAGUAGGGAAUUUUCCCCAGUGG
rnacentral:rRNA from 1 species